rnacentral:pre_miRNA from 1 species
GUUUUAGUAUAUGUAUGCUCCAUGCAAUAUUUAGGGUAUACUUAUACUAAAA